UACAGAGGUCCCAAGCGUUGUUCGGAUUCACUGGGCGUAAAGGGUGCGUAGGUGGUCGGGUAAGUCCGAUGUGAAAUCUCCAGGCUCAACCUGGAAAUGGCAUUGGAUACUAUUCGGCUUGAGGAGUGGAGGGGGGACUGGAAUUCUCGGUGUAGCAGUGAAAUGCGUAGAUAUCGAGAGGAACACCAGUGGCGAAGGCGAGUCCCUGGACAAUUCCUGACACUGAGGCACGAAAGCUAGGGGAGCAAACAGG
rnacentral:rRNA from 1 species